GCUUGAUUAGCUCAGCCGGUUAGAGCGUCGUACUAAUACAGAAAGGGUAUUCAUCCCUCUGUAUCAUGUAAUGCGAAGGCCAACAGUUCAAUCCUUUUAUCGAGCA